AGUGAGUAGCUUGCUAUGAGCUGUUUUAGCGGCGGACGGGUGAGUAACGCGUGGGUAACCUGCCUCAUACAGGGGGAUAACAGUUAGAAAUGACUGCUAAUACCGCAUAAGCGCACAGUACCGCAUGGUACGGUGUGAAAAGCCGAGACGGUAUGAGAUGGACCCGCGUUAGAUUAGCCAGUUGGCGGGGUAACGGCCCACCAAAGCGACGAUCUAUAGCCGGCCUGAGAGGGCGACCGGCCACAUUGGAACUGAGACACGGUCCAAACUCC
rnacentral:rRNA from 1 species